CAGCAGCCGCGGUAAUACGUAGAUGGCAAGCGUUGUCCGGAAUUAUUGGGCGUAAAGGGCGUGUAGGCGGUCUGGUAAGUCGGGGGUGAAAACCCGGAGCUCAACUCCGGGAUGGCCUCUGAUACUGCUGGACUUGAGUGCUCUAGAGGGUAGUGGAAUUGCCGGUGUAGCAGUGAAAUGCGUAGAGAUCGGCAGGAACACCAGUGGCGAAGGCGACUGCCUGGGGAGUAACUGACGCUGAGGCGCGAAAGCUGGGGGAGCA
rnacentral:rRNA from 1 species